UACGUAGGCAGCGAGCGUUGUUCGGAGUUACUGGGCGUAAAGAGUGCGUAGGCGGUUGGCUAAGUUUGGUGUGAAAUCUCCCGGCUCAACUGGGAGGGUGCGCCGAAAACUGGCUGGCUGGAGUGUGGGAGAGGCUAGCGGAAUUCCUGGUGUAGCGGUGAAAUGCGUAGAGAUCCGGAAGAACACCGGUGGCGAAGGCGGCCUGCUGGGCAGUUUAGCUGACACUGAGGCGCGACACGUGGGGAGCAAACAGG
rnacentral:rRNA from 1 species